rnacentral:rRNA from 1 species
GACGAACGCUGGCGGCGUGCCUAAUACAUGCAAGUCGAACGCAGUGGGGACGGGUGAGUAACACGUGGGUAACCUCCCAUCAGAGGGGAUAACACUUGGAUACAGGUGCUAAACCGAUACUGAUGGAUGAACCCGCGGUGCAUUAGCUAGUUGGUGAGGUAACGGCUCACCAAGGCCACGAUGCAUAGCCGACCUGAGAGGGUGAUCGGCCACACUGGGACUGGGACACGGCCCAGACUCCUACGGGAGGCAGCAGUGGGGAAUCUUCGGCAAUGGGCGAAAGUCUGACCGAGCAACGCCGCGUGAGUGAAGAAGGUUUUCGGGUCGUAAAGCUCUGUUGUUAGAGAAGCGGUAUCUAACCAGGAAGCCACGGCUAACUACGUGCCAGCAGCCGCGGUAAUUC